AUUCCUUCUGGCUAAUUCUAUCAGUUCUUUCAGAACAAAUGAUGCAACUUCUGGUGUUUAUACCCCAAGUGUCAUCAUGAAGCCCCUGAGGGCAAGUAUGCUGGCUGCAUCUUUACAACGAGCAAUGGGUGUUGGGAAUAAGGGGAAUGCACGCAAUGGAGAGCUCAGCAACCUUCUUCUUGGAAGAAAAAUUCUUGUUGUAGAUGACAAUGGUGUGAACCUCAAA
rnacentral:misc_RNA from 1 species